ensembl:lncRNA
GGUUCUUUUGGACAUUAGUCGGCCAUCUUCCCUCUUGCUAGCAAGCUGGAGUAAAUUGCCCUUUCUCUGCCACCAUCUUGCGUCUUGACGAUUGGCUUUUGUCUCACGGUGAGAAGUGAGAAGAUGGUGCCCUUUGUGAGGUUGCUGGAUUGUAAAACUGGAAAUGCAAGUUUAUCUCAACUGGUCCUCUAGCCUAAAAACUGACAGAAAGACACUGAUAGCAAAGGGGCCCACAGUGAGAAAGAACGUUUUCCUUAUCCACAACCCAAACAACAGGAUCAGAAGGACUUUUCUUAGUUCAAAAAUUAGUAAAAAGAAACAAACUAAUAUGGCAUCUGAGAAAGUAUUUUAUAGCUAAGAGGUGAAAAGUUGAGGUGCAGAGGGGAGAAUUCUUCAGGAAAAUAUUUAAUUUAGAAAGGAGGACAAGUUCUAGAAAGCAUCUGCAAUAUAUUCUCAAUAUAAUUAAGGCAUGGACUUGAAGUAAGAGAUGAAUGUGGGUGACAAUACAGCAGAGAUGAUGAGGUAGGUGGAUGAUGAGCAGUCAUAAACGGGGAUUAAAAGAUAAGGAAAAGUUUAGUUGCAGAGUUUAAAUCUUCAAAAAUUCAUAAAGCACAAUCAAACCUGCAUAAAAUCAAAUCAGUGAUGUGGAGAGAAAAUUUGAGAAAGUUUCCCAGAAUGCAAAGGAAAAGGUAUAGGAUGAAAAGGAUGAGAGAAAAAAAUAGUAGACGUUGAGGAGAGAGGUAGGAGGCCCAACAUCAGAUAAUUGGUGACGGUGAGCGAGAUUGGAUGCAACGCUCAGAGAUGUCAGGGGAUGAAACAGAAGGAUACUCCUGAUCUGAGGAAGAAAACUAGCAUCAGGAAAAUAUAACGUUAAAAAAAUGUGUCCACCCUGCAAGAUGGCCCCCAAAGGAUCUCUGCCUGCUGGUGUUCACAUUGUAUACAGGUAGGUCUGUGUGACCAGUGGAAUAUGGCAGAAGUGGUAGUCAGUCACUUCUGAGAUAAAGCUCAUAAAGACACUGUGGCUCUGUCUUGGCUGUUCUUCUUCUCUCUCUCGGAUCACUCUCUGGAGGAAUCGAGCUUUCAUGUCAUGAGCAGCCUUAUGGAGAGGCCCAUGAGGGGAGGAGCCGAGGUCCUUCUACCAACAGCCAUGUGAGGACCCUCCUGCCCCAGCAAACCUUCAGGUGACUAUAGCACCCCCAACAUCUGGACUGCAACCUUGUGAGAGACUGAGCCAGACCCAUCCGGCUAAGACUCUCCCAGAUUCCUGGAGAGAUAAAAAAUGUUUGCUGUUUUAAGAUGCUAAAUUUUGGGGCAAUUUGUUAUGUAGCAAUAGAAAACUAAUACAACCAUGGAAUGGAGGAGGGAGGUAGAAGGGAGAUUAGCAGAGAGGAAAUCCACGAGAUCAGAACAUGUUUAAAUGCUAAUGGGAGAAUUCAAUAGAUAAGGAGAAAGGCUGGAAACACAGUGUGCAGAAGGGGAUGUGUAAUAGUGUGAGGAUCCUGAGAAGGAGGGUGGGGUGGGAUGCAGAGGACAGCUUUGGGGAUUGGCCUUCAAUAGGAGCAGGGGCACUAUUUAGGGUCUCACACUCAAAUGCUAAUUUGCCUGACCAGUAGGGCAUUUGAGUUUGAUAUUCCAUGAGAGAAGCAAAUCUCUGACAAGCUUAAUUGGGAAAAUGCAAAUAUAUAAUGUCAAUAACAAGAAAGGGAAUAUUAUGGAAGAUGUGGAUGAGAUUAAAACCAUUGUAAGCAAGAUGAUAUACAACUCUGAGUUGAAGAAUUUGAAAAUUCAGAUGAGAUUCUUUUCUAAGACAAUUAUUAAUUAUCAGUUGCCAGAAUUGUUUUAUAGAAUGAAAGGUCAGAAUAAUAAGCAUGGGAGAAAUGGAAAUAGCUGCCAAAGAACUACAUUGAGAAAUGUGGUGGACAUAUAUGGUUUCACAGAUUAUUUCAUUCAAACUCUAAAGUUGUGUUGUCCAAUACAAUAAGUGACAAGUCACAUGUGGCCACUUAAUUUUAAAUUAAUUAAAAUUAAAUAAGAUUUAAAUCCAGUCCUUCAGUCACACUAGCCAUUCUUCAAGUGCUCAGUAGCCACAUGUGGCUAGUGACUGCCACAUUGUACAGUGCUGAUAUAGAACAUUUCCCUCAUCACAAAAUCUUUUUUUUUUUUUUGAGGAAGAUUAGCCCUAAGCUAACUGCUGCCAAUCCUCCUCUUUUCGCUGAGGAAGACUGGCCCUGAGCUAAUAUCCAUGCCCAUCUUCCUCUACUUUAUAUGUGGGACGCCUACCACAGCAUGGCGUGCCAAGCAGUGCCACGUCUGCACCCGGAAUCCAAACCAGCAAACCCCGGGCCGCCAAAGCAGACCAUGCGCACUUAACCGCUGUGCCACCGGGUCGGCCCCUCAUCACAAAAUCUUAAUAGGCCAGUGAUGCUCUAAAGGAAUAGAUCAUUUUUAUAUGGUAUAACUUGUUUCCGUGCACAUAAAAAGGCUGUGAGUCUCCCAACUUAUUUACUAAACAAUAACUUUGAGGCCAAAACACAGCCAAGAAGACAUCACAAGAAUUAGAAACCAAUCUCAUAUAUGAAUAGAUGUAGACAUUCUGAAUAAACCUCUGGUACUUCAAAUCUAGACAUUCAGGAAUAUUCCAACAUUGGCAUUCUGGAAGUGCAAGGAAAUGUUAAUAAUAGGAAAUCCAUUAAUAUGACAAUGCAUCAGUAGAGAAAAGGAGAAAAACAUAAUUGUCGUCAUAGAUCUAAAACAAGUAUUUGAUAAAAUUAAACAGUCAUUCCUGAAUAAACUGGGACAAAAAGAAACUUUAUUAGGAUGCUAAAGAAUAAUUUUCUCGGAUAUCAACAUCGUCCCAAACCUCAUCCCAAACAGCUCAACUCAUGUUUAAUGAGAAAAUGCUCCAGGCAUUUCAAUUAAAGUGAGGAAUAAGACAAGAUCAAGCCUGCUAUCAUUUCUAUAAUUUAAUACUGCUCUAGAAUUUUCAGUAAACAAUAACAAACGAGGGGCUGGCCCUGUGGCCGAGUGGUUAAGUUCGUGAGCUCUGCUGAGGCGGCCCAGGGUUUCCCUGGUUCGGAUCCUGGGCGUGGACGUGGCACCGCUCAUCAGGCCAUGUUGAAGUGGCAUCCCACAUGCCACAACUAGAAGGACCUGCAACUAAGGUAUACAACUAUGUACCAGGGGGGAUUUGGGGAGAUAAAGCACUGAAAAAAAAAAAA